rnacentral:rRNA from 1 species
UACGUAGGGCGCAAGCGUUGUCCGGAAUUAUUGGGCGUAAAGAGCUCGUAGGCGGUCUGUUACGUCCGCUGUGAAAACCCAGGGCUUAACCCUGGGCUUGCAGUGGAUACGGGUAGACUAGAGGCAGGUAGGGGAGAAUGGAAUUCCCGGUGUAGCGGUGAAAUGCGCAGAUAUCGGGAGGAACACCGGUGGCGAAGGCGGUUCUCUGGGCAGUAACUGACGCUGAGGAGCGAAAGCGUGGGGAGCGAACAGG